GGUCGGUUAGCUCAGUUGGUUAGUGCGUUAUGUUGGUGACGCGAAGGUCAUAGGUUCGAGCCCUGUACUGACUA